rnacentral:rRNA from 1 species
GACGAACGCUGGCGGCGUGCUUAACACAUGCAAGUCGAGCGGUAAGGCCCUUUCGGGGUACGACGAGCGGCGAACGGGUGGAGUAACACGUGGGUGGACCUCGCCCUCCAGCUCUGGGAGUAAGCCUGGGAAACGUAGGGUCGUAAUAACCGGAUAUGACUCCAUGACGCAUGUUGUGGGGUGGGAAAGACCUUGUGCGGCUGAGGA